rnacentral:rRNA from 1 species
CCGGCCUGAGCUUGAUCCUGGCUCAGGACGAACGCUGGCGGUAUGCCUAAUACAUGCAAGUCGAACGCUGAAGCACUCUGCUUGCAGAGUGCGGAUGAGUGGCGAACGGGUGAGUAACACGUGGGUAACCUGCCCAUAAGAGGGGGAUAACAUCCGGAAACGGGUGCUAAUACCGCAUAGGUGAACGGAGCGCAUGCUCUGUUCAUUAAAGGUGGCCUUGCGCUACCGCUUAUGGAUGGACCCGCGGCGUAUUAGCUAGUUGGUGAGGUAAUGGCUCACCAAGGCGAUGAUACGUAGCCGACCUGAGAGGGUGAUCGGCCACACUGGGACUGAGACACGGCCCAGACUCCUACGGGAGGCAGCAGUAGGGAAUCUUCCACAAUGGGCGAAAGCCUGAUGGAGCAAUACCGCGUGAGUGAAGAAGGUCUUCGGAUCGUAAAGCUCUGUUGUUAGAGAAGAACACGCAGAACAG